UUAAGCGACUAAGCGUACACGGUGGAUGCCCUGGCAGUCAGAGGCGAUGAAGGACGUGCUAAUCUGCGAAAAGCGUCGGUAAGGUGAUAUGAACCGUUAUAACCGGCGAUGUCCGAAUGGGGAAACCCAGUGCAAUUCGUUGCACUAUCGUUAACUGAAUACAUAGGUUAACGAGGCGAACCGGGGGAACUGAAACAUCUAAGUACCCCGAGGAAAAGAAAUCAACCGAGAUUCCCCCAGUAGCGGCGAGCGAACGGGGAGCAGCCCAGAGUCUGAAUCAGCUUGUGUGUUAGUGGAACGGUCUGGAAAGUCCGACGGUACAGGGUGAUAGUCCCGUACACCAAAAUGCACAGGCUGUGAACUCGAAGAGUAGGGCGGGACACGUGGUAUCCUGUCUGAAUAUGGGGGGACCAUCCUCCAAGGCUAAAUACUCCUGACUGACCGAUAGUGAACCAGUACCGUGAGGGAAAGGCGAAAAGAACCCCGGCGAGGGGAGUGAAAAAGAACCUGAAACCGUGUACGUACAAGCAGUGGGAGCACCUUCGGGUGUGACUGCGUACCUUUUGUAUAAUGGGUCAGCGACUUAUAUUCUGUAGCAAGGUUAACCGUAUAGGGGAGCCGCAGGGAAACCGAGUCUUAACUGGGCGUUAAGUUGCAGGGUAUAGACCCGAAACCCGGUGAUCUAGCCAUGGGCAGGUUGAAGGUUGGGUAACACUAACUGGAGGACCGAACCGACUAAUGUUGAAAAAUUAGCGGAUGACUUGUGGCUGGGGGUGAAAGGCCAAUCAAACCGGGAGAUAGCUGGUUCUCCCCGAAAGCUAUUUAGGUAGCGCCUCGUGAACUCAUCUUCGGGGGUAGAGCACUGUUUCGGCUAGGGGGUCAUCCCGACUUACCAACCCGAUGCAAACUACGAAUACCGAAGAAUGUUAUCACGGGAGACACACGGCGGGUGCUAACGUCCGUCGUGAAGAGGGAAACAACCCAGACCGCCAGCUAAGGUCCCAAAGUCAUGGUUAAGUGGGAAACGAUGUGGGAAGGCACAGACAGCCAGGAUGUUGGCUUAGAAGCAGCCAUCAUUUAAAGAAAGCGUAAUAGCUCACUGGUCGAGUCGGCCUGCGCGGAAGAUGUAACGGGGCUAAACCAUGCACCGAAGCUGCGGCAGCGACACUAUGUGUUGUUGGGUAGGGGAGCGUUCUGUAAGCCUGCGAAGGUGACCUGUGAGGGUUGCUGGAGGUAUCAGAAGUGCGAAUGCUGACAUAAGUAACGAUAAAGCGGGUGAAAAGCCCGCUCGCCGGAAGACCAAGGGUUCCUGUCCAACGUUAAUCGGGGCAGGGUGAGUCGACCCCUAAGGCGAGGCCGAAAGGCGUAGUCGAUGGGAAACAGGUUAAUAUUCCUGUACUUGGUGUUACUGCGAAGGGGGGACGGAGAAGGCUAUGUUAGCCGGGCGACGGUUGUCCCGGUUUAAGCAUGUAGGCUGGUUGUCCAGGCAAAUCCGGAUAAUCAAGGCUGAGGUGUGAUGACGAGGCACUACGGUGCUGAAGUAACAAAUGCCCUGCUUCCAGGAAAAGCCUCUAAGCAUCAGGUAACAUCAAAUCGUACCCCAAACCGACACAGGUGGUCAGGUAGAGAAUACCAAGGCGCUUGAGAGAACUCGGGUGAAGGAACUAGGCAAAAUGGUGCCGUAACUUCGGGAGAAGGCACGCUGGUGUGUAGGUGAAGUCCCUGCGGAUGGAGCUGAGACCAGUCGAAGAUACCAGCUGGCUGCAACUGUUUAUUAAAAACACAGCACUGUGCAAACACGAAAGUGGACGUAUACGGUGUGACGCCUGCCCGGUGCCGGAAGGUUAAUUGAUGGGGUUAUCCGUAAGGAGAAGCUCUUGAUCGAAGCCCCGGUAAACGGCGGCCGUAACUAUAACGGUCCUAAGGUAGCGAAAUUCCUUGUCGGGUAAGUUCCGACCUGCACGAAUGGCGUAAUGAUGGCCAGGCUGUCUCCACCCGAGACUCAGUGAAAUUGAACUCGCUGUGAAGAUGCAGUGUACCCGCGGCAAGACGGAAAGACCCCGUGAACCUUUACUAUAGCUUGACACUGAACAUUGAGCCUUGAUGUGUAGGAUAGGUGGGAGGCUUUGAAGCGUGGACGCCAGUCUGCGUGGAGCCAACCUUGAAAUACCACCCUUUAAUGUUUGAUGUUCUAACGUUGGCCCCUUACCGGGGUUGCGGACAGUGUCUGGUGGGUAGUUUGACUGGGGCGGUCUCCUCCCAAAGCGUAACGGAGGAGCACGAAGGUUAGCUAAUCCUGGUCGGACAUCAGGAGGUUAGUGCAAUGGCAUAAGCUAGCUUGACUGCGAGCGUGACGGCGCGAGCAGGUGCGAAAGCAGGUCAUAGUGAUCCGGUGGUUCUGAAUGGAAGGGCCAUCGCUCAACGGAUAAAAGGUACUCCGGGGAUAACAGGCUGAUACCGCCCAAGAGUUCAUAUCGACGGCGGUGUUUGGCACCUCGAUGUCGGCUCAUCACAUCCUGGGGCUGAAGUAGGUCCCAAGGGUAUGGCUGUUCGCCAUUUAAAGUGGUACGCGAGCUGGGUUUAGAACGUCGUGAGACAGUUCGGUCCCUAUCUGCCGUGGGCGCUGGAGAAUUGAGGGGGGCUGCUCCUAGUACGAGAGGACCGGAGUGGACGCAUCACUGGUGUUCGGGUUGUCAUGCCAAUGGCACUGCCCGGUAGCUAAAUGCGGAAGAGAUAAGUGCUGAAAGCAUCUAAGCACGAAACUUGCCCCGAGAUGAGUUCUCCCUGAGACUUUAAGUCUCCUGAAGGAACGUUGAAGACGACGACGUUGAUAGGCCGGGUGUGUAAGCGCAGCGAUGCGUUGAGCUAACCGGUACUAAUGAACCGUGAGGCUUAACCUU
rnacentral:rRNA from 1 species